rnacentral:tRNA from 1 species
AUCUUUUUAGUAUAAAUAAUAUAUUUGACUUCCAAUCAAAAGAUCUUAAAGAAUAAGAAAAGAUA